rnacentral:rRNA from 1 species
UCUUAAAAUUUUAUUUAAUUUAUAAAUUAAAUAAAAUUUUUAAUUGGGGUGAUUAUAAAAUUAAAUAAACUUUUAUAAAUUUAAUUCAUAAAUAAAUGAUUUUUUGAUAUUAAUUAUAAAUAUUUAGAAUAAGU